AUCCAAAGUAGGAUGCUGAACGUGCCCGAUCUCGUCUGAUCUUGGAAGCUAAACAGGGUCAGGCCUGGUUAGUACUUGGAUGGGAGACCAUCUAGGAAGACCAGGUGCUGUAGACG
rnacentral:rRNA from 1 species